UACCAAACCGAUGCAAACUCCGAAUACCACAGUGCGAGCAUGGGAGACACACGGCGGGUGCUAACGUCCGUCGUGAAAAGGGAAACAACCCAGACCGUCAGCUAAGGUCCCAAAGUUAUGGUUAAGUGGGAAACGAUGUGGGAAGGCUUAGACAGCUAGGAGGUUGGCUUAGAAGCAGCCACCCUUUAAAGAAAGCGUAAUAGCUCACUAGUCGAGUCGGCCUGCGCGGAAGAUGUAACGGGGCUCAAACCAUACACCGAAGCUACGGGUUCAUCUUAGGAUGAGCGGUAGAGGAGCGUUCUGUAAGCCUGUGAAGGUGAGUUGAGAAGCUUGCUGGAGGUAUCAGAAGUGCGAAUGCUGACAUGAGUAACGACAAUGCGAGUGAAAAACUCGCACGCCGAAAGACCAAGGUUUCCUGCGCAACGUUAAUCGACGCAGGGUUAGUCGGCCCCUAAGGCGAGGCAGAAAUGCGUAGUCGAUGGGAAACGGGUUAAUAUUCCCGUACUUCUAAUUACUGCGAUGGAGGGACGGAGAAGGCUAGGCCAGCACGGCGUUGGUUGUCCGUGUUUAAGGUGGUAGGCUGGAAUCUUAGGUAAAUCCGGGAUUCAAGGCCGAGAACUGAUGACGAGUCGUCUUUUAGAGAUGAAGUGGUUGAUGCCAUGCUUCCAGGAAAAGCUUCUAAGCUUCAGGUAACUAGGAACCGUACCCCAAACCGACACAGGUGGUUGGUAGAGAAUACCAAGGCGCUUGAGAGAACUCGGGUGAAGGAAC
rnacentral:ncRNA from 1 species